ensembl:lncRNA
GUAGAGUACAGCAGUCCAUGUGAAGAGGCCAGACUCCUGCUCUGACUAAACCCUGUACACUACAGUAAUCCAUGUGAAGAGACCAGACUCCUGCUCUGACUAAACCCUGUAGACUACAGUAGUCCAUGUGAAGAGACCAGGCUCCUGCUCUGACUAAACCCUGUAGACUACAGUAGUCCAUGUGAAGAGACCAGGCUCCUGCUCUGACUAAACCCUGUAGACUACAGUAAUCCAUGUGAAGAGACCAGGCUCCUGCUCUGACUAAACCCUGUAGACUACAGUAGUCCAUGUGAAGAGACCAGGCUCCUGCUCUGACUAAACCCUGUACACUACAGUAAUCCAUGUGAAGAGACCAGACUCCUGCUCUGACUAAACCCUGUAGACUACAGUAGUCCAUGAGAAGAGACCAGGCUCCUGCUCUGACUAAACCCUGUAGACUACAGUAGUCCAUGUGAAGAGACCAGGCUCCUGCUCUGACUAAACCCUGUAGACUACAGUAGUCCAUGAGAAGAGACCAGACCAGACUCCUGCUCUGACUAAACCCUGGGAGUGAAAGGUGAAGGAGGGUCUGUCGUCUGUCUGGGCUAUCAGCAUUUCUCUCUUAGCCUGAAUGCCUUAUCUAUAACGAUGUACUGGGUAUGAACAGAAUAAACAGCUGGUUUGUAUAACGAUGUACUGGGUAUGAACAGGACACACAGCUGGUUUGUAUAACGAUGUACUGGGUAUGAACAGAACACACAGCUGGUUUGUACUGGUAUGAACAGAACACACAGCUGGUUUGUACUGGGUAUGAACAGAACACACAGCUGGUUUGUACUGGGUAUGAACAGAACACACAGCUGGUUUGUACUGGGUAUGAACAGAACACACAGCUGGUUUGUACUGGGUAUGAACAGAACACACAGCUGGUUUGUACUGGGUAUGAACAGAACACACAGCUGGUUUGUAUAAUGAUGUACUGGGUAUGAACAGAACACACAGCUGGUUUGUACUGGGUAUGAACAGAACACACAGCUGGUUUGUACUGGGUAUGAACAGAACACACAGCUGGUUUGUACUGGGUAUGAACAGAACACACAGCUGGUUUGUACUGGGUAUGAACAGAACACACAGCUGGUUUGUAUUAAUUCUCUGCACUUGGACUAGUGGAUGUCGUCCCAAUCGAUCACCUAAACCUGACGCACGUGGGGAUCUGAGAUGAUUUGACCCGUGUCAAUCAAUAAAUUAUUUAUAAUUAUUAGGUCAAUCAAUAUUGCCGUAGCUCCCCCGCCUUUCCCUCUGAUAGGCUAGGGGGAAGUUUCACCCUAUUGCUUACACCAAUCAAAUCCACUUGUAGGGCGCUAGGGGUCCGUCUGGGAUAGGGGUCCGUCUGGGAUAGGGGUCCGUCUGGGAUAGGGGUCCGUCUGGGAUAGGGGUCCGUCUGGGAUAGGG